CCCCUAGACGUUCUGGGCUGCACGCGCGCUACAAUAAUACGCACAGCGAGUAUCACCGAGCUCGAAAGGGCAAGGUAAACAAUAGAAAAGGUACUGUAAUGGUUAUAGAUCCUUGUAAUUAUUGAUCUUCAACGAGGAAUUCCUAGUAAGUAUGUGUCAUCAUCACGCACUGAUUACGUCCCUGCCCUCUGUACACACCGCCCGUCGCUCCUACCGAUUGAGUGAGCCGAUGAAACUGCCGGAUGUGGACUAUUCAUAGUCUGCAGAAGAUAUUUGAAUCGUAGCGCUUAGAGGAAGGAGAAGUCGUAACA
rnacentral:rRNA from 1 species